GACGAACGCUGGCGGCGCGCCUAACACAUGCAAGUCGAACGAGCGAGAGAGAGCUUGCUUUCUCGAGCGAGUGGCGAACGGGUGAGUAACGCGUGAGGAACCUGCCUCAAAGAGGGGGACAACAGUUGGAAACGACUGCUAAUACCGCAUAAGCCCACAGGUCGGCAUCGACCAGAGGGAAAAGGAGCAAUUCGCUUCAGGAUGGCCUCGCGUCCAAUUAGGUAGAUGGUGAGGUAACGGCCCACCAUGCCGACGAUUGGUAGCCGGACUGAGAGGUUGAACGGCCACAUUGGGACUGAGACACGGCCCAG
rnacentral:rRNA from 1 species